rnacentral:lncRNA from 1 species
GAGCUCCUAGGACCAUCGAUGGACGUUCAACCUUCUCUCCCACCUUAACGGUGGUCGAAGUCGUGUCCACCCACUGCGUUGCCAGACCCUCGGCACUUUGAGAACAAUUAUUCUUGUUUGGUGAAGACUAGAAGUGAUGCUUGUUUCCUAGAAAAAGGAGCUAUUCUGCUGUCCCCAAGCCGGACCAAGCCUGCAGUAAGGCUCACUGCAGGGAGCACGUGGCCAGCGGCUCCGACUUCGGCAGACCUUCGCGUGUGUAAGUGCAUU